rnacentral:rRNA from 1 species
AUUGAACGCUGGCGGCAGGCCUAACACAUGCAAGUCGAACGGUAACAGGAAGCAGCUUGCUGCUUCGCUGACGAGUGGCGGACGGGUGAGUAAUGUCUGGGAAACUGCCUGAUGGAGGGGGAUAACUACUGGAAACGGUAGCUAAUACCGCAUAACGUCGCAAGACCAAAGAGGGGGACCUUAGGGCCUCUUGCCAUCGGAUAUGCCCAGAUGGGAUUAGCUAGUAGGUGGGGUAACGGCUCACCUAGGCGACGAUCCCUAGCUGGUCUGAGAGGAUGACCAGCCACACUGGAACUGAGACACGGUCCAGACUCCUACGGGAGGCAGCAGUGGGGAAUAUUGCACAAUGGGCGCAAGCCUGAUGCAGCCAUGCCGCGUGUAUGAAGAAGGCCUUCGGGUUGUAAAGUACUUUCAGCGGGGAGGAAGGGAGUAAAGUUAAUACCUUUGCUCAUUGACGUUACCCGCAGAAGAAGCGCCGGCUAACUCCGUG